CUGGAGAACUGAGGGGGGCUGCUCCUAGUACGAGAGGACCGGAGUGGAUGCAUCACUGGUGUUCGGGUUGUCAUGCCAAUGGCACUGCCCGGUAGCUAAAUGCGGAAGAGAUAAGUGCUGAAAGCAUCUAAGCACGAAACUUGCCCCGAGAUGAGUUCUCCCUGAGACUUAGAGUCUACUGAAGGCACGUUGCAGACGACGCAGUUGAUAGGCCGGGGCUGUAAGGGCCGCGAAGCGGUGACCUACCCGGU
rnacentral:rRNA from 1 species